CAGGAAAUGCCUCCGUUGAGCGCCGCCAAUCUAGGCAAUGGGAGCCUUGUGCAAGCGUGAUUCAUUUGCAGUGGAAUACGACAUCAAAGCCAGAAGGUGCACGAGCUCUAUACAAACGUACUGAGCAAACUGGGGCGUUGAAUUCCAUCGUCAACCGAAGAAUUGAACAUCCCAUCGGGGGGCUGAUGUCACAUCUGGCUAUUCCUGAUUGGCUUUCAGCAUCAAGCCUGGUCGCUGUCACGCCCCCAGAGAGCCACAACCCCAACGUGAUUGGUAGGUUCGUCAGCUCUGCACACAACACUGUAAAAGUGGCAUUCAUAUAAAAUUUCAAGGCCGCACUAUUAUUUAACUUUCCUAGUAAGGUGGGGGCCACAAAAUAUCGUCUCGGGUGCCAGAAAUGGCCCGUGGGCCACAAGUUUGAGACCCAUGUUUUAAACAUUGCCUGGACAGUACGGUACACUAAAUAGUUGUCAGGAUGUACGUAAGGUAUGUGUUGCAUUGAGGACUGCAGAUGAACAAUAACCGAAAUCCUGCCACUUCAUAAAUUUUGAGAGUAAAUAACAGCAGACACACCACGAGAAAAGAAGAAUGCAAAUGAAACCGUCCCCUUCCCACGCAGUAUUUUUCGAUGCAGAAGUCUGACUCAUCACGUAGGAUGUAAACGAAGCAAAAUGACAGAUCAAAGAUCAGGGUAAUGGACUCGGGCACACACGCGAAGGGCAACAACACGUCGCCACGGUCGCUCGUUGCGGUUCUCUCCGUGUCUUCUGCGGUCCAGUUAGGCGGCGAGGCGCCCACCAAGUCUGCGCGCGGCUUCGACGAGAGCCGGGCCCGCCCGGCGUUUCCGUGGCCGAUCCGGCAACCUGCAGCUGGCCCACGCGGAUCCCGACCGGAGGGCAGGGCCCUCCGCCUACGUUGUUGUCUCAAUGAUGCGGCAGCUCACGUAAUGAUUGAAACGGCACCGCGGAUUGAGAAAUGUGUGAUCGGCGGAGGCUUGAAGGUGUUCACGCAGAUGUUUGCCGCAGCAACUUUAGCUCAUCUAUUUGAUUUUUUUUUUUUUUUUUUUGAACCCAAAAACCGAGGGGUCGU